GACAUCCAGAGAACUUAGCAGAGAUGCUUUGGUGCCUUCGGGAACUCUGAGACAGGUGCUGCAUGGCUGUCGUCAGCUCGUGUUGUGAAAUGUUGGGUUAACGUCCGCAACGAGCGCAACCCUUAUCCUUUGUUGCCAGCGGUUCGGCCGGGAACUCAAAGGAGACUGCCGGUGAUAAACCGGAGGAAGGUGGGGAUGACGUCAAGUCAUCAUGGCCCUUACGGCCAGGGCUACACACGUGUUACAAUGGCGCAUACAAAGAGAAGCGACCUCGCGAGAGCAAGCGGACCUCAUAAAGUGCGUCGUAGUCCGGAUUGGAGUCUGCAACUCGACUCCAUGAAGUCGGAAUCGCUAGUAAUCGUAGAUCAGAAUGCUACGGUGAAUACGUUCCCGGGCCUUGUACACACCGCCCGUCACACCAUGGGAGUGGGUUGCAAAAGAAGUAGGUAGCUUAACCUUCGGGAGGGCGCUUACCACUUUGUGAUUCAUGACUGGGGUGAAGUCGUAACAAGGUAGGCGUAGCGAG
rnacentral:rRNA from 1 species